GGUGGCUAAUACCGGAUGUGCCGAAAGGUAAAAGGCUUGCUGCCUGAAGAUGAGCUCGCGUCUGAUUAGCUAGUUGGUGUGGUAAGAGCGCACCAAGGCGACGAUCAGUAGCUGGUCUGAGAGGAUGAUCAGCCACACUGGGACUGAGACACGGCCCAGACUCCUACGGGAGGGCAGCAGUGGGGAAUUUUCCGCAAUGGGCGAAAGCCUGACGGAGCAAUACCGCGUGAGGGAGGAAGGCUCUUGGGUUGUAAACCUCUUUUCUCAGGGAAGAAAAAAAUGACGGUACCUGAGGAAUCAGCAUCGGCUAACUCCGUGCCAGCAGCCGCGGUAAUACGGAGGAUGCAAGCGUUAUCCGGAAUGAUUGGGCGUAAAGCGUCCGCAGG
rnacentral:rRNA from 1 species